GUAGGUGGCAAGCGUUGUCCGGAAUUAUUGGGCGUAAAGCGCGCGCAGGCGGUCCUUUAAGUCUGAUGUGAAAGCCCACGGCUCAACCGUGGAGGGUCAUUGGAAACUGGGGGACUUGAGUACAGAAGAGGAAAGCGGAAUUCCAAGUGUAGCGGUGAAAUGCGUAGAGAUUUGGAGGAACACCAGUGGCGAAGGCGGCUUUCUGGUCUGUAACUGACGCUGAGGCGCGAAAGCGUGGGGAGCAAACAGGGAUUAGAUACCCUGGUAGUCCACGCCGUAAACGAUGAGUGCUAAGUGUUAGGGGGUUUCCCGCCCCUUAGUGCUGCAGCUAACGCAUUAAACACUCCGCCUGGGGAGUACGGCCGCAAGGCUG
rnacentral:rRNA from 1 species